AAUGAAUGUUGGCGGCGUGGAUUAGGCAUGCAAGUCGUACGCUUUAUGUAGCAAUACAUGAGGAGUGGCGUAAGGGAGAGUAAUGCAUGGUUAGCUACCCUCGGGACUGGGAUAGCGGCGGGAAACUGCCGGUAAUACCAGAUGACAUCUUCGGAUCAAACGUGUAAAUCGGCCCGAGGAGGUGACCAUGUCCUAUCAGCUAGUUGGCGGUGUAACGGACCACCAAGGCUAAGACGGGUAUGGGGCGUGAGAGCGUGCCCCCACUCACUGGGACUGAGACACUGCCCAGACACCUACGGGUGGCUGCAGUCGAGAAUCUUCGGCAAUGGGCGCAAGCCUGACCGAGCGACGCCGCGUGCGGGAUGAAGGCCUUCGGGUUGUAAACCGCUGUCGUAGGGGAGGAAGGCUCCGUGCAGAACGGAGUUUGACCGAUCCUAGGAGGAAGGGCCGGCUAAUCUCGUGCCAGCCGCCGCCGUAA
rnacentral:rRNA from 1 species